AAAGUCGUAACAAGGUUUCCGUAGGUGAACCUGCGGAAGGAUCAUUAACACGUAUCCAACGUUAAACAACCUGUGAACCUUCAUUCCUGCUCUCCUUGGAGGCGAUGCCUGGUAAAUCACGCGAACAGUUUGAUUCAGGCACCACUUCUGGGGAUUCGAUGCGGUCGUCGUAAUUUAGACUUGGUGUCCUCACGGAUAACCGAUUAUCGGAUCACUGGUCCUCACGAUCUGUGGACAAGUCUCUGGGCUUCGGCCCCCUUUAUAUUAACCCCAUUCUAACUCUCGAGGCUGCGGAAACGCGUCUCACAAAAACGAACAACUGUUAACAAUGGAUAUCUUGGUUCUC
rnacentral:misc_RNA from 1 species